rnacentral:rRNA from 1 species
GACGAACGCUGGCGGCGUGCUUAACACAUGCAAGUCGAGCGGUAAGGCCCUUUCGGGGGUACACGAGCGGCGAACGGGUGAGUAACACGUGGGUGACCUGCCUUUAGCUCUGGGAUAAGCCUGGGAAACUGGGUCUAAUACCGGAUAUGACUCUGCGGUGCAUGCUGUGGGGUGGAAAGCCUUGUGCGGCUGGAGAUGGGCCCGCGGCCUAUCAGCUUGUUGGUGGGGUGAUGGCCUACCAAGGCGACGACGGGUAGCCGGCCUGAGAGGGCGACCGGCCACACUGGGACUGAGACACGGCCCAGACUCCUACGGAAGGCAGCAGUGGGGAAUCUUGCGCAAUGGGCGAAAGCCUGACGCAGCGACGCCGCGUGAGGGAUGACGGCCU